rnacentral:rRNA from 1 species
UUCGCAAUGCCCGAAAGGGUGACGAAGCGACGCCGCGUGCGGGAAGAAGGCCUUCGGGUUGUAAACCGCUGUCGGGAGUUAAGAAAUGUAAGGAUGUUAAUAGCAUCUUUGCUUGACUAAGGCUCCGGAGGAAGCCACGGCUAACUCUGUGCCAGCAGCCGCGGUAAUACAGAGGCGGCAAGCGUUGUUCGGAAUUAUUGGGCGUAAAGGGCACGUAGGCGGCUAUGUAAGUCGGUUGUGAAAGCCUUCCGCUCAACGGGAGAACAGCAUCCGAUACUGCAUGGCUUGAGUGCGGGAGGGGAGUGUGGAACUUCUGGUGGAGCGGUGAAAUGCGUAGAUAUCAGAAGGAACGCCGGCGGCGAAAGCGGCUCUCUGGCCCAUAACUGACGCUGAGUGUGCGAAAGCUAGGGGAGCAAACGGGAUUAGAUACCCCGGUAGUCCUGGCCCUAAACGAUGGGCACUAAGUAGAGGGGUUUU